rnacentral:rRNA from 1 species
GACGAACCGUGCGAACGUUGUUCGGAUUCACUGGGCUUAAAGGGCGCGUAGGCGGUCGACCAAGUCUGGGGUGAAAUCUUUCGGCUUAACCGGAAAAGUGCCCCCGAUACUGGCCGGCUAGAGGGAGAUAGGGGCAUGUGGAACUUCCGGUGGAGCGGUGAAAUGCGUAGAGAUCCGGAGGAACACCAGAGGCGAAGGCGGCCUACUGGGCUGCACCUGACGCUGAGCCGCGAAAGCCAGGGGAGCGAACGGG